rnacentral:tRNA from 1 species
GCCAGCGUAGCUUAAGCAAAGCAUGACACUGAAGAUGUUAAAAUGAACCCCUCAAAAGUUCCGCAAGCA